UACAGAGGGUGCGAGCGUUGUUCGGAAUUAUUGGGCGUAAAGGGCGCGUAGGCGGUGCGGUAAGUCACCUGUGAAAUCUCCCGGCUCAACUGGGAGGGUGCGCCGAAUACUGAGCGACUAGAGUGCGGGAGAGGAAAGUGGAAUCCCUGGUGUAGCGGUGAAAUGCGUAGAUAUCAGGAGGAACACCGGUGGUGUAGACGGCUUUCUGGACCGUAACUGACGCUGAGACACGAAAGCGUGGGUAGCAAACAGG
rnacentral:rRNA from 1 species